rnacentral:rRNA from 1 species
UACGUAGGGUGCAAGCGUUGUCCGGAAUUAUUGGGCGUAAAGAGCUCGUAGGCGGCCUGUCGCGUCGACCGUGAAAACCCGCAGCUCAACUGCGGGCUUGCGGUCGAUACGGGCAGGCUGGAGUUCGGUAGGGGAGACUGGAAUUCCUGGUGUAGCGGUGAAAUGCGCAGAUAUCAGGAGGAACACCGGUGGCGAAGGCGGUUCUCUGGGCCUGUACUGACGCUGAGGAACGAAAGCGUGGGGAGCGAACAGG